CACCAGACUCCUACGGGAGGCAGCAGUGGGGAAUAUUGCACAAUGGGGGAAACCCUGAUGCAGCGACGCCGCGUGAAGGAUGAAGUAUUUCGGUAUGUAAACUUCUAUCAGCAGGGAAGAAAAUGACGGUACCUGACUAAGAAGCCCCGGCUAACUACGUGCCAGCAGCCGCGGUAAUACGUAGGGGGCAAGCGUUAUCCGGAUUUACUGGGUGUAAAGGGAGCGUAGACGGCAAUGCAAGCCAGAUGUGAAAGCCCGGGGCUCAACCCCGGGACUGCAUUUGGAACUGUGUAGCUGGAGUGUCGGAGAGGCAGGCGGAAUUCCUAGUGUAGCGGUGAAAUGCGUAGAUAUUAGGAGGAACACCAGUGGCGAAGGCGGCCUGCUGGACGAUGACUGACGUUGAGGCUCGAAAGCGUGGGGAGCAAACAGGAUUAGAUACCCCCGUA
rnacentral:rRNA from 1 species